UCUCCCAACAGGAGUGCCUGGCUCUUAGGUUACUCCACAUGCUGAAAACUUAUGACUAUGUGUACAUUAUUUGUUUCAGGAUUUAACAUUUUCUGCCUUUGAUUUUGCAUGCCAGUUCUUUCAUGAAUCAAGGUCCAUGUGUUGUAACUCUAGGACCAACCAUGGGCUAUGAGGACAACAGGGAAGUGCUGGGUAACCUAGUUGUUUAGGGCAAUAUAGUGACCACCAAUGUGACCUUCCCAGCCAGCCUGUCCAUAACACUAUGCCAGAGACUAAAUAUUGAAGAUAACACAGACAUAUCUAACCAUCAGACUCUGCCUACAAUCCCCUCAUCCAUCAAGUUGUUAAGGGAUGUCGAUCCAACAGUGUUUGCCAUCCAGAGAGGAGAUGCUCAAGCUGUGAAAGAGCUGUCAGUGACUGCACCACUCAGCCUGAUGAAAGAGAACAAAGAAGGAUUAAUACCUUUGCAUGAGGCUGCAUAUUGUGGCCAAGCUGAAUGCGUAAAGGCACUGCUGAAAGCUACACAUUGAAAGCAUCAUUUUUAUAGUCUUUAAAUGCAAAUCCUUGCCUUUUGUUAAUGGGGCUAAAUUAAAUUGGGGUUGAAUUAUAGACUGGAUGUUAAAGCAUGUUAAAGCAUUUUGUUUAUGUGUAUACUAUUUCCCCUCCAGCCCAACCAGGAUUAGUUGACAAGCGCACCCUCCAAGAACAGGCUGCUCUCCUCCUGUCAUUUUCCAGGCAGCAACUGUUCUGUGUUCAAUGCCUCCUACAGCCAGGGCCAGACCCUGACAUCAGCAACAAGAACAAAGAGACUCCCCUAUACAAAGGUGCUGACAUCAACAUGCAGACAUGUGACGGUGCUACAGCCCUGUGUGAGGCCAGUAAAAAUUGCCACAGGGAGAUAGUGGAGCUGCUACUUUCUCCCAACACAGACGGCAACAAACCCACCAAGACAGGACUCCUACCUCUACAUGUUGCUGCUCAGUGUGGACACCAUGAGUAUGUACGAGUGCACUGUGUUUCUCCUGUUGUGUCUCUCUUGUAUUACUCUUAUGUACAGUACUAAUGUCCCCUUGUUCCAGUAUUGUGUACCUGCUUGUCCCAGUCACUAAGUCGGGCCAGAGUUCACAAAGCGUGAUCACCCCCCUCGACCAGGCUGCAGAGCACAACCGGGACAUGGUCACAGCCAUAUUGCUCAGGACAGGUGCCGAUGUCAACGCCACACUAUCCCACAAUCGCUCCAUGCAGUAUUUGGAUCACUGCAUCACAGCACUCUACUUUUCCAUUUCCAAUGGAAGCACUAUUGCUGCCAUUCUACUAGCAGCUGUAAGACUGGGUUGUGCCAGGACUGUCUCCCUACUGCUGGAGCAUGGGGCUGAUAACACCAGCAUUCCAUUCUGUCACACCACCUUCCCUGGUGCUAUCAUACUCUGUAUGAAUAACCUACCUCUUCUCAAGUGCCUUUUGGUCAAUGGCUGUGAUAUCUGGGCCUACUUCAGAUGUGCAUAUGGUUGCAGCCCACACCCAGCCCAGGACAGCAUGGGCAGCAUAGUCAUCAACGUCAACACUGUACUUCCUACCAAUGACAUGUCUCUUUUAACCUGCACAUGACUUGUUGUCAGCAAAGUACAGUUUUGUGAGUUGAUCCCAUCACCAACUGUGUGCCAGACUCGCCGAGCUCCUGGAUGGACGGCAGGAAUGGCCCAGCAUCAAGUCCAAGUCAUUGUCAGCCCAUCCACUGAUGCACCUGUGCAGGCUAAGGAUCAGUGAGCAGAUGGGUGUGUCCAGACUCGGGUCUCUGGACAGCCUACCCCUCCCAGAGACUGCUGCAGUACCUCAGCCUGACCAGACACAGCUUUGAUGACUUCUGCCCUGAUGGCAAAUAAGGCUUGUCAGUGUUCCUGUGUGUUGUGCCUUAUAGUAUAUUACAUUACCAGUUUACAGGAUUUUUGAAACUGUAUUUAUGGGGUAGUGAUGAUUGGGGAAUGUGUGUGUUGUGUGCACAUACAGUGGAUGUGAGCUGCAAUUAACUCAAGGUAAGCAUAUAAAAUACCUGUCUUUCAGAUGUUUAGGCCGAGUCGAACAAAGGGAGACAAUCAAUGUGAGGCUUUAUGAAGUGUGCUUGCUUGGAUGGAAUUUACUUGUUGAUAUUCAGCACUGUAUUUGUAAAAUGUUUUGAAAGUGUGUUUUCAACAGACCUAGUGUAAUGAGUGUAUAUUAUAGUUGAGUUGUUGUUGUAACAUAUUGUAAAUGUCAGUGCCAAAAGGCUAUUGAAUGUGUUCGAACCAAAGAAAGAAAUCUAAAGAUCUACUGUUUAUUUAAAAAAUAAAUGUAAUUUCUCCA